GGCCCCGUAGCUCAGCAUGGACAGAGCGGCGGCCUUCUAAGCCGUAGGUCGUGGGUUCAAAUCCCACCGGGGCCGCCA
rnacentral:tRNA from 4 species